UACGUAGGUGGCAAGCGUUGUCCGGAAUUAUUGGGCGUAAAGCGCGCGCAGGCGGUCCUUUAAGUCUGAUGUGAAAGCCCACGGCUCAACCGUGGAGGGUCAUUGGAAACUGGGGGACUUGAGUGCAGAAGGAGGAAAGCGGAAUUCCACGUGUAGCGGUGAAAUGCGUAGAGAUGUGGAGGAACACCAGUGGCGAAGGCGGCGUUCUGGUCGUGAGUAACUUGACGCUGGAGGCGCGAAAGCG
rnacentral:rRNA from 1 species